rnacentral:rRNA from 1 species
UACGUAGGGUGCAAGCGUUGUCCGGAAUUAUUGGGCGUAAAGAGCUCGUAGGCGGCCUGUCGCGUCGGCUGUGAAAACCCGGGGGCUCAACCCCGGGCCUGCAGUCGAUACGGGCAGGCUAGAGUCCGGCAGGGGAGACUGGAAUUCCUGGUGUAGCGGUGAAAUGCGCAGAUAUCAGGAGGAACACCGGUGGCGAAGGCGGGGUCUCUGGGGCCGGAACUGACGCUGAGGAGCGAAAAGCGUGGGGGAGCGAAACAGG